UAUUCGAAAUAAAAAAGGGCAAAGGGGUUGAUAUACAAAAGGAAUCCCUGAUCAAUGACGAGAGAUUCCUCGGCCGUGGGUUCUCGACCUUGUUCCCCUGAUCGUCUUUGUCUUCUCAUUGGAAGCAGCCUCAGCGAAGCAUGAAGAACUAGGGUUUGCCUUCCAAGGGGUUUCUUCGAUUCUGCGGAAUUUGGACAGAUUUAGUUGAGUAUUAAAAGCCCCUCAAAAGUAACAAAUCACAUGCAGUAGGGAUGGCAUGUGUGGCCAGGAUGCUGAUCAUUGAGCCACCUGUGUUCCAAGUAAAGUCAGCUCUAACCUUCAUCCGACUUCAAGUACAUGAACAAAGACAGUGUGGACUUGCUGUAGUUUCUUAGUAAAGUUGUUGACAAAUUCAAACAGAUCUUUUAUGUUUAUACGAAUUAAACUUGCAUCAAUAAAGUCACUUAUACAA